rnacentral:rRNA from 1 species
AGUGUAGGCGGCUACUUAAGUCGGAUGUGAAAGCCCCGGGCUCAACCUGGGAAUUGCAUUCGAAACUGGGUAGCUAGAGUUUGGUAGAGGUAAGUGGAAUUCCGGGUGUAGCGGUGAAAUGCGUAGAUAUCCGGAGGAACAUCAGUGGCGAAGGCGGCUUACUGGACCAAAACUGACGCUGAGGCUCGAAAGCGUGGGGAGCAAACAGGAUUAGGUACCCUGGUAGUCC